rnacentral:lncRNA from 1 species
AGGUUUAUAAUGCCCAGCUAUGUGUCUGGUUGUACAGCAGAUUUGUGGAUAGUGUCUGAGAAGCUCCGUGUCCUCAGGAGUGCUUUUCCAGUGGCUUGCAGAACAGAUGCUCUCAGAGAAAUCAUUAUGAUUCCAUCCAUUAUUUUGCUUGUCACAUGUGAACUUUACCUUCUCUCUAUUCACCAAAAUCCUUUUUUCUGGUCAAAAGGUCUGGGACUUUGUUAACUCUAGAGCAUUUUUUACUUAUAAAAACAAGGGACUACAUGCCAUCCCUCUGUGGGCUCACAUUAUUGGUUGCCGAGCACAAGUUGAGUGACUGUAGACACAGCACAGGGGACUUGUAUCUCAGGUGGAGGUAGUUCUUGGCCUACACACCAGCUUUAUAUGUCCAUGCAACCUUUGCUUUCUCUGUCUUUAAUUACUUUGUUUUUGGAGUGGAUAGAACAUUGUUUUCCUGGCAUGAAGACUGACUGACUGAUGGACUUCAGUGCAGCAGUUUGCAAAAGCAGCGUCUUUCUUGGAUAAGUUGUCAGUUUUUUUUUUUUUUAAAGAUUUAUUUAUUGACUAUAUGUAAGUACACUGUAGCUGUCCUCAGACACUCCAGAAGAGGGAGUCAGAUCUCGUUACGGAUGGUUGUGAGCCACCAUGUGGUUGCUGGGAUUUGAACUCCUGACCUUCGGAAGAGCAGUCGGGUGCUCCUACCCACUGAGCCAUCUCACCAGCCCCAAGUUGUCAGUUUUGAAAUCUUAAAAUAUCGGGCUGCAGAGGCAGCUCAGUCAGUGAGUUCAGUUCCUAGUACCCACAUCAGGUGGCUCACAAAUACCUGUAACUUCAGUCCCAGGGAAUCUGACACUUCUGGCCUCUAAGAGCACCUACACUCAUGUGCACGUAACCACACACGUACACAUAAUUUAAAAUAGUAAAAUCAUUUAAAAAAAGGCUCAUAUCUUGAAGUGUGAAUUAAAAUCCCUGCUGAUUUUUAAAUAUAUUAGAAGUUAUGUGUAUGAGUUGUUGUGCCCGAAUAUGUGCAUCUGGUGCCCCUAGAGAUCAAAGAGGACAUCCAGUCCCUUAGAACCUAAGUUACCAAUGAUUAGGAGCCACUGUGUUGGUUCCGAGAACUGAAUUUGGGUCUUUUGCAAGAGUAACAAGUACUUAUAACCAUUGAGUUAUCUCUCUACCUCCCAAACUUUGAAGUUAAAUGGCCGAAUUCCAUAAGCUUACUGUACAGAUAAGGGUUCUUAUUGAGCAGGUCAGGAGUUUUAACUGGGAGAUGGGGGGGGUGUCUUUUAAAAUCCAUUUUCCAUAUCUGCAUUCUUCCUUCUACUCUAAUAGGAAAUUGUUAAAGACAGUUUUUUUUAAAUAGUAGAUCUCACUGUAAUCUUCACCCACCCCCGAAGUAAUUGGAUGCUUCCUAAAGAUUAGAAGUAUCAGUGAGAGGAAAGGUGUCUGAUCAAUAUCUAAAUUAUUUUUUGUUCAGUAUAAUCUGAAAUCCACUUUUUCCUAGACACUUUUCAAAGUGAGCAUAGUGGCUGGCUUGUACUUACAAUCCUAGCCUUCUAGAGAUAUGAGGCUCUCAAGUUGGAAGUCAGUUUAGAAUACAUGGUAAGACCCUGUUUCAAAAAGCCAGAACAAAGUCUGGUAGUGGUAGCACAUGCCUUUAAUUCUAGCACUUGAGAGGCAGAUCUCUUGAAUUUGAGGCCGGCCUGGUCUACAGAAUGAGUUCCAGGACAGUCAG